rnacentral:rRNA from 1 species
CAAUGCAGAGGAAGGUGGGACGACGUCAAGUCAUCAUGGUCCUUAUGGUCCAGGGCUACACACGUGCUACGAAUGGUAGUUACAGAGGGGAGCGAAGCUGUAAGGUGGAGCGAAUACUCAGAAAAAGCUGCCACAGUUCGGAUUGAGGUCUGCAACUCGGCCUCAUGAAGCUGGAAUCGCUAGUAAUCGCGUAACAUCAUGACGCGGUGAAUACGUUCCCGGGCCUU